AGUGAACGCUGGCGGUAGGCCUAACACAUGCAAGUCGAACGGCAGCACAGUAAGAGCUUGCUCUUACGGGUGGCGAGUGGCGGACGGGUGAGGUAUACAUCGGAAUCUACUUUUUCGUGGGGGAUAACGUAGGGAAACUUACGCUAAUACCGCAUACGUCCUACGGGUGAAAGCAGGGGAUCUUCGGACCUUGCGCGAUUGAAUGAGCCGAUGUCGGAUUAGCUAGUUGGCGGGGUAAAGGCCCACCAAGGCGACGAUCCGUAGCUGGUCUGAGAGGAUGAUCAGCCACACUGGAACUGAGACACGGUCCAGACUCCUACGGGAGGAAGCAGUGGGGAAUAUUGGACAAUGGGCGCAAGCGUGAUCCAGCCAUACCGCGUGGGUGAAGAAGGCCUUCGGGUUGUAAAGCCCUUUUGUUGGGAAAGAAGAGCAGCAGGUUAAUACCCCGCUGUUCUGACGGUACCCAAAGAAUAAGCACCGGCUAACUUCGUG
rnacentral:rRNA from 1 species